rnacentral:rRNA from 1 species
AAUUUUGGACAAUGGGGGCAACCCUGAUCCAGCCAUCCCUCGUGUUCGAUGAAGGCCUUCGGGUUGUAAAGCACUUUUGGCAGGGAAGAAAAGGCUCUGGCUAAUACCUGGAGCUGCUGACGGUACCUGCAGAAUAAGCACCGGCUAACUACGUGCCCGCAGCCGCGGGAAUACGUAGGGUGCAAGCGUUAAUCGGAAUUACUGGGCGUAAAGCGUGCGCAGGCGGUUCGGCAAGAAGGAUGUGAAAUCCCAGGGCUUAACCUUGGAACUGCAUUCUUAACUGCCGGGCUAGAGUAUGUCAGAGGGGGGUAGAAUUCCGCGUGUAGCAGUGAAAUGCGUAGAGAUGCGGAGGAAUACCGAUGGCGAAGGCGACUUUCUGGACUUAUACUGACGCUGAGGAACGAAAGCGUGGGGAGCAAAC